rnacentral:rRNA from 1 species
ACCGCAUGCAGGUAAACGGGUGGCGUCAAGCUGCAAGCCCAGAGGAUUCAGUCGGCUAGAGUGUAGUGAAUGCGCCUGCGCAUCGAAUGGCCAGUGUAGGAUUGGAUAGUCUACUGGAAGACAGUGGGCCCUACCGUAAGGUAGGGAUGUGCGUACCGGGCGUCGGCCGGAACACGCUAUCCGUCUAUUGGGCUGCCUAGCCGGUGCACUUUCUCUGUGGUGAACACCACGACCGGUGGAACUGCCAGUCUGUCAGUGUCAAGUCGUAGUGGGCGGGCUUUCGGGUCUGCCUGCUGUGAUCACGGGCGUACUCGGUGAACGGCGUUGGUGCAUCUUUACGGUGUGUCAACGUGUUAUCGGCUACUGGUCGCUUUAUCGGGCCUGCCUGAUGCAUGUCUUAACCGUGUGUUGGGUGGUCUGGUGGACUUUGAUGGUAAUAAUAACUGUGCAGGGCACCGGAGUUUUCGGCCUCAAAUGCAGUCUGCAUGCAUGUUAUGAGUGUAUUGUGUUUGUGGGUGUCGUCGCGGGCUGGCUGUUGUUGGAUUUGAUUGUCGUGUUGCCUACGAAAAGUGGGCCCGGCAGUAGUUCGAUGCAGGUUGGUCUCGUUGGCGGUGCUUGCGAUGUAGACUGUGGUGGGCCAGAUAGUCUGUGGUGUAGUGGUAGACGAGCUACCCGACCCGUCUUGA